rnacentral:rRNA from 1 species
UGAGCAAUGUGCCCUUGACUCUGGGGAUAAGCGCUGGAAACGGCGUCUAAUACCGGAUACGACCAUCGGAGGCAUCUCCUGGUGGUGGAAAAGAACUUCGGUCAAGGAUCAGCUCACGGCCUAUCAGCUUGUUGGUGAGGUAAUGGCUCACCAAGGCGACGACGGGUAGCCGGCCUGAGAGGGUGACCGGCCACACGUGGGACUGAGACACGGCCCAGACUCCGUAGGA